GUGUCAGCAGCCGCGGUAAUACGGAGGGGGCGAGCGUUGUUCGGAAUCACUGGGCGUAAAGCGUGCGUAGGCGGUUCAGCAAGUCAGAAGUGAAAUCCCGGGGCUCAACCUCGGAACUGCUUUUGAAACUGCUGAACUAGAAUCCGGGAGAGGUUAGGAGAAUUCCUAGUGUAGAGGUGAAAUUCGUAGAUAUUAGGAGGAAUACCAGUGGCGUAGGCGCCUAACUGGACCGGUAUUGACGCUGAGGUACGAAAGCGUGGGGAGCAAACAGGAUUAGAUACCCUGGUAGUCCACGCCCUAAACGAUGUGAACUAGCUGUCGGGGCUUAAGCUUCGGCGGCGCAGCUAACGCAAUAAGUUCACCGCCUGGGAAGUACGGCCGCAAGGCUAAAACUUAAAGGAAUUGACGGGG
rnacentral:rRNA from 1 species